rnacentral:rRNA from 1 species
CCUACGGGGGGCAGCAGUGAGGAAUAUUGGUCAAUGGACGAGAGUCUGAACCAGCCAAGUAGCGUGAAGGAUGACUGCCCUAUGGGUUGUAAACUUCUUUUAUAAAGGAAUAAAACGAGGCACGUGUGCCUUUUUGCAUGUACUUUAUGAAUAAGGAUCGGCUAACUCCGUGCCAGCAGCCGCGGUAAUACGGAGGAUCCGAGCGUUAUCCGGAUUUAUUGGGUUUAAAGGGAGCGUAGAUGGGUUGUUAAGUCAGUUGUGAAAGUUUGGGGCUCAACCGUAAAAUUGCAAUUGAUACUGGCAGUCUUGAGUAGAGUUGAGGUAGGCGGAAUGCGUGGUGUAGCGGUGAAAUGCUUAGAUAUCACGAAGAACCCCGAUUGCGAAGGCAGCAUACUAAACUGCCACUGACAUUGAGGCUCGAAAGUGUGGGUAUCAAACAGGAUUAGAUACCCGGGUAGUC